CUCCUGGGUCGGCCCCAUAGUUAGCUGCAGAACGGAGGAAGCAGCUGGAGCGCAACCCUCCCCACAGGGCCCCACCCUGCCCAGCCCACCGCCCAGCCUCACCACAGAGCAGGAGCUGAGCAGCAGGAGCCCCCAGAGCAGCGCCAUGUUCCUGUGGCGGGGACAGAAGGCCCCACACUGUGCAGCAGACCUGCGUCUCAAUCCAGACUACCCCUUGCAAAGGACCUUGGCACUCCCCGUAACCCCACCAGGCUUGGUGUUACC